CAUAAUUUAAAUUUGUAUUUAUUUUCUUAUAUUCAAACAAAUGUUUGUAGAGAACAGUGUUCGGCGACUUAGAUAGCUUUAGUGAGUUGAUGGUUUGACUUGCUAGGUAUGCCUGCAAGGAGGACACUGUAAUUUGGUCCAACAAAGGUUCUCAUUCUGAAAGAAACUGCAACUAUGCAAGAGCUUAUUGACGGAGAUUAUGAAAUUUGCAGUUCAAGUUCUGGACAUCAGAUUGAUACUUUACCAAAGGUGCACCAAUCGGCCCUCCGUCUCCUAGGGUGAUGGCACAAUGACAUCGACAGCGGCAGCAAUUGCGCACAGAUUGAUGCGCCAUGCUCGGGCAAUAAUAGUCCAAGCUUCAUCGUGUAAUAAGCUCCACCUGUGUGCACAGCUUAUGUAGAGAAGCGAGGCCUUUUCGUAUUUGAGGAAGAAUGUCAUGCAACCAUUCAAGAAGAAUAGGAUGGGUAUUCCAGUAAUCCUAUGGAUUAGUCUCUAUAGUUGUUGGCGGCCUAUAAAGCAGAGGUAUCUAUGACUAAAUAAAUAAAAAUUGAUGACUUACUAUUUUACAAUAUUAGUUUCGACUAUAGUAUUGCUGACUA